rnacentral:tRNA from 2 species
UGAUUCCGUAGCUCAGCGGGAGAGCGCUUCGUUGACAUCGAAGAGGUCGGUGGUUCAAUCCCACUCGGAAUCAU